AUUGAACGCUGGCGGCAUGCCUUACACAUGCAGGUCGAACGGCAGCACGGGUGCUUGCACCUGGUGGCGAGUGGCGAACGGGUGAGUAAUACAUCGGAACAUGUCCUGUAGUGGGGGAUAGCCCGGCGAAAGCCGGAUUAAUACCGCAUACGAUCCACGGAUGAAAGCGGGGGACCUUCGGGCCUCGCGCUAUAGGGUUGGCCGAUGGCUGAUUAGCUAGUUGGUGGGGUAAAGGCCUACCAAGGCGACGAUCAGUAGCUGGUCUGAGAGGACGACCAGCCACGCUGGGACUGAGACACGGCCCAGACUCCUACGGGAGGCAGCAGUGUGGAAUUUUGGACAAUGGGCGAAAGCCUGAUCCAGCAAUGCCGCGUGUGUGAAGAAGGCCUUCGGGUUGUAAAGCACUUUUGUCCGGAAAGAAAUCCUUGACUCUAAUACAGUCGGGGGAUGACGGUACCGGAAGAAUAAGCACCGGCUAACUACGUG
rnacentral:rRNA from 1 species